UAAUACGUAGGGUGCGAGCGUUAAUCGGAAUUACUGGGCGUAAAGCGUGCGCAGGCGGAUUGUUAAGCAAGACGUGAAAUCCCCGGGCUUAACCUGGGAAUGGCGUUUUGAACUGGCAGUCUAGAGUGCGUCAGAGGGGGGUGGAAUUCCACGUGUAGCAGUGAAAUGCGUAGAGAUGUGGAGGAACACCGAUGGCGAAGGCAGCCCCCUGGGAUGACACUGACGCUCAUGUACGAAAGCGUGGGUAGCAAACAGG
rnacentral:rRNA from 2 species